AUGAACGCUAGCGACAGGCUUAACACAUGCAAGUCGAGGGGCAGCACAGGUAGCAAUACCGGGUGGCGACCGGCGCACGGGUGAGUAACGCGUAUGCAACUUACCUAUCAGAGGGGGAUAACCCGGCGAAAGUCGGACUAAUACCGCAUGAAGCAGGGGCCCCGCAUGGGGAUAUUUGCUAAAGAUUCAUCGCUGAUAGAUAGGCAUGCGUUCCAUUAGGCAGUUGGCGGGGUAACGGCCCACCAAACCGACGAUGGAUAGGGGUUCUGAGAGGAAGGUCCCCCACAUUGGUACUGAGACACGGACCAAACUCCUACGGGAGGCAGCAGUGAGGAAUAUUGGUCAAUGGCCGAGAGGCUGAACCAGCCAAGUCGCGUGAGGGAUGAAGGUUCUAUGGAUCGUAAACCUCUUUUAUAAGGGAAUAAAGUGCGGGACGUGUCCCGUUUUGUAUGUACCUUAUGAAUAAGGAUCGGCAACCUCCGUGCCAAGAGCCGCGGUAAUACGGAGGAUCCGAGCGUUAUCCGGAUUUAUUGGGUUUAAAGGGAGCGUAGGCGGAUUAUUAAGUCAGUUGUGAAAGUUUGCGGCUCAACCGUAAAAUUGCAGUUGAUACUGGUAGUCUUGAGUGCAGCAGAGGUAGGCGGAAUUCGUGGUGUAGCGGUGAAAUGCAUAGAUAUCACGCAGAACCCCGAUUGCGAAGGCAGCCUGCCAAGCCAUGACUGACGCUGAUGCACGAAAGCGUGGGGAUCAAACAGGAUUAGAUACCCUGGUAGUCCACGCAGUAAACGAUGAUCACUAGCUGUUUGCGAUACACAGUAAGCGGCACAGCGAAAGCGUUAAGUGAUCCACCUGGGGAGUACGCCGGCAACGGUGAAACUCAAAGGAAUUGACGGGGGCCCGCACAAGCGGAGGAACAUGUGGUUUAAUUCGAUGAUACGCGAGGAACCUUACCCGGGUUUGAACGCAUUCGGACCGAGGUGGAAACACCUUUUCUAGCAAUAGCCGUUUGCGAGGUGCUGCAUGGUUGUCGUCAGCUCGUGCCGUGAGGUGUCGGCUUAAGUGCCAUAACGAGCGCAACCCUUGCCACUAGUUACUAACAGGUGAUGCUGAGGACUCUGGUGGGACUGCCAGCGUAAGCUGCGAGGAAGGCGGGGAUGACGUCAAAUCAGCACGGCCCUUACAUCCGGGGCGACACACGUGUUACAAUGGCGUGGACAAAGGGAGGCCACCUGGCGACAGGGAGCGAAUCCCCAAACCACGUCUCAGUUCGGAUCGGAGUCUGCAACCCGACUCCGUGAAGCUGGAUUCGCUAGUAAUCGCGCAUCAGCCAUGGCGCGGUGAAUACGUUCCCGGGCCUUGUACACACCGCCCGUCAAGCCAUGGGAGCCGGGGGUACCUGAAGUCCGUAACCGCGAGGAUCGGCCUAGGGUAAAACUGGUGACUGGGGCU
rnacentral:rRNA from 1 species